rnacentral:rRNA from 1 species
AGAGCGAACGCUGGCGGCAGGCCUAAUACAUGCAAGUCGAACGGACCCUUCGGGGUUAGUGGCGGACGGGUGAGUAACACGUGGGAACGUGCCCUUUGGUUCGGAACAACUCAGGGAAACUUGAGCUAAUACCGAAUGUGCCCCCAUCCUUAAACAAGAUGGGUGGGAAAGAUUUAUCGCCAUUGGAGCGGCCCGCGUCUGAUUAGCUAGUUGGUGAGGUAAAGGCUCACCAAGGCGACGAUCAGUAGCUGGUCUGAGAGGAUGAUCAGCCACACUGGGACUGAGACACGGCCCAGACUCCUACGGGAGGCAGCAGUAGGGAAUCUUGCGCAAUGGGCGAAAGCCUGACGCAGCCAUGCCGCGUGAAUGAUGAAGGUCUUAGGAUUGUAAAAUUCUUUCAGCGGGGACGAUAAUGACGGUACCCGCAGAAGAGCCCCGGCUAACUUCGUGCCAGCAGCCGCGGU